GACGAACGCUGGCGGCAUGCCUAAUACAUGCAAGUCGAGCGAACGGAUGAAGUGCUUGCACUUCUGACGUUAGCGGCGAACGGGUGAGUAACACGUAAGGAAUCUACCUAUAAGCGGGGGAUAACAUUCGGAAACGGGUGCUAAUACCGCAUAAUAUCUUCUUCCGCAUGGAAGAAGAUUGAAAGACGGCUCUGCUGUCACUUAUAGAUGACCUUGCGGUGCAUUAGUUAGUUGGUGGGGUAAUGGCCUACCAAGACGAUGAUGCAUAGCCGAGCUGAGAGGGUGAUCGGCCACAUUGGGACGGAGACACGGCCCAAACUCCUACGGGAGGCAGCAGUAGGGAAUCUUCCGCAAUGGGCGAAAGCCUGACGGAGCAAUGCCGCGUGAGUGAAGAAGGCCUUCGGGUCGUAAAACUCUGUUAUAAGAGAAGAACAAAUUGUAGAGUAACUGCUACAGUCUUGACGGUAUCUUAUCAGAAAGCCACGGCUAACUACGUGCCAGCCGCCGCGGUAA
rnacentral:rRNA from 1 species